UCUAUUGUGGCAGAAAUUAUGCAAUGAAUUUAAAAUUCACUUAUAAAUAUUUUUAUUUCUUUAGAA
rnacentral:tRNA from 1 species